rnacentral:rRNA from 1 species
ACAUGCCUACAUCAUAGCGUCAAUGCAUCGGAUCCCAUUAGAACUCUGCAGUUAAGUGUGCUCGGGCUAGAGUAGUACUGGGAUGGGUGAUUUCUUGGGAAGUCCUAGUGCUUUACAUGCC